GACGAACGCUGGCGGCGUGCCUAAUACAUGCAAGUCGAACGCAGUGGGGACGGGUGAGUAACACGUGGGCAACCUCCCAUCAGAGGGGAUAACACUUGGAAACAGGUGCUAAACCGAUACUGAUGGAUGGACCCGCGGUGCAUUAGCAAGUUGGUGAGGUAACGGCUCACCAAGGCCACGAUGCAUAGGAGACCUGGGAGGGUGAUCGGCCACACUGAGACGGAGACACGACCCAGACUACUACGGGAGGCAGCAGUAGGGAAUCUUCGGCAAUGGACGAAAGUCUGACCGAGCAACGCAACGUGAGGAAAGAAGGUUUUCAAAGCGUAGAACUCUGUUGUUAAAGCAGCGAUAUCUAACCAGAAAGCCACGGCUAACUACGUGCCAGCAGCCGCGGUAAUAC
rnacentral:rRNA from 1 species